rnacentral:rRNA from 1 species
UACGAAGGGGGCUAGCGUGGCUCGGAAUGACUGGGCGUAAAGGGCGCGUAGGCGGUUUGUACAGUCAGAUGUGAAAUUCCUGGGCUCAACCUGGGGGCUGCAUUUGAUACGUAUGGACUGGAGUGAGGAAGAGGGUCGUGGAAUUCCCAGUGUAGAGGUGAAAUUCGUAGAUAUUGGGAAGAACACCGGUGGCGAAGGCGGCGACCUGGUCCUUUACUGACGCUGAGGCGCGAAAGCGUGGGGAGCAAACAGG